GGAAGGUAGACGACUUGGACCUCUAAGAAGUUAAUUCGAUAUCAAAGAGAAGAUCGUCUGUAAUUUGCAAGUUUGCUUAGGCCGCGAAAAUGAAUUAAUUCCGUCUAGAUACCACGACGCUGAUAGAUAUAAAUAUUAAUUUUUGGGUUGACCAGAGGGAUGGAGAAAGAGACAAACCGAAUGGCAGGCAAAAGCAGGGAGAAGAGUUAGGAAGGUAGACUGGAGCGGCUAAGAAGUUAAUACGGCAUCAAAGAGCACAUCUGCUAUAAUUUGCAAGUUUGCUUAGGCCGGAUUGACCGGAAGGAUGGAGAUAGAGACAAACUAAAUAACAAACAAAAACUAGCUGAAGAAUUUACAUGAAGAUUUUACAUUUACAGUAAUAAGAUGACAUUUGGACUGACCAGAUGAAGCAAAACGAGAUAAAGUGAAUGACAGAGACAAAAAAGUUUGAAGAUUCAUCAGAAACCAAUCUUAGAGAAUGGAACUGCCUCUAGCUGUGAUAUAGCUUUAACAAAA